UACGUAGGGUGCGAGCGUUGUCCGGAAUUACUGGGCGUAAAGGAGCUCGUAGGCGGUUUGUCGCGUCGUCCGUGAAAACUUGGGGCUCAACCCCAAGCUUGCGGGCGAUACGGGCAGACUUGAGUACUGGCAGGGGAGACUGGAAUUCCUGGUGUAGCGGUGAAAUGCGCAGUAUAUCAGGAGGAACACCGGUGGCGAAGGCGGGUCUCUGGGUAGUAACUGACGCUGAGGAGCGGAAAGCGUGGGUAGCGAACAGG
rnacentral:rRNA from 1 species